rnacentral:rRNA from 1 species
UACGGAGGGUGCAAGCGUUGUCCGGAUUUAUUGGGUUUAAAGGGUGCGUAGGUGGCCCGUUAAGUCCGGGGUGAAAGCCCACUGCUCAACAGUGGAACUGCCUUGGAAACUGGACGGCUUGAGUACAGACGAGGGCGGCGGAAUGGAUGGUGUAGCGGUGAAAUGCAUAGAUACCAUCCAGAACCCCGAUUGCGAAGGCAGCUGCCUAGACUGUAACUGACGCUGAGGCACGAAAGCGUGGGGAGCGAACAGG